AUGUGAUUUGCUUUUACUAUAAUCUCAAUUUUCACAACAUAUUUAUGUUACUAGAAAUGAAGAUUACGUCUUGCAGGACGUCACACAAAAUAGAUGAUCAUCGAUCAGGACAUUGUUGCAGAUCGAAAAAGAUUUUUUUUUUUUCAGUUUAAAUAAAUGAAAAUGCAAAUGAAAGAUCUCAAUAUUUCAUGAAGGUGGAGACUAAUUGACUGUAGUGCAAAGAAGAACACAAUGUUUUAUUGAUUUACGUUUCAAUAAAACUCUAUUUAAGUUUGAAUGAAGAUAUGUACAGUGAGUGAUAGUGAUGGUUGCGUGUAGCCUGUCUGUAGAAUAACUUGGAGAAUUAUUGAAGUUAUUCAUGACCUCAUUUCUACUUUCGUUUUGCGUGCACGACUUGUAAUUCGAAUUACUUCCCUUUGUGUCGCUAGUUUACAACGACCAUAACGACAGAAGAUUUUGGUCCAAUAUUCAUUAUAACAUUUGAAAUUAACAAAUACAGUGUCUAAAUAUUCAAACAUAUUAAUUUUAAAAGAAAGAAAUUAAUUAGAAAUCUUACAAAAAUAAUAUUUACAGCUACGAUGAGGUUUUGGAGUGUGUUUUAAACAUUUCACGAUAAAUGACCAAGAGAUAUUAUAUUUCGUUACUGAUUAAAAAAAAUAAACAGAAAAUGAAAAUUCUGAAGAACUAACAGAGUUCAAAACAAAUGAAAUAGACGAUUUUUUUAAGUUAACCGUAAAAAAUGACACAUUUGAUCAAGUAUUUAUUUACCACUCUUUGUUUAUAUCUAUGUAAUUUUUAACUUGCUAUAACGGUUCAAUUUUCUCCAAUCCGGAUGUUGUCUAAUCCGGCCAAAAUUUUUGGAACCACUGGUCGCCGGAUUAGACAAGUUUUACUGUAUUGUACAUGUAUAGUAAUUUCAGACAAAAAAAUGCUGUAAUUAAAAAGAUUAAUUUUAAAACUAAAUACAAAUGCAAACGUAGGGGGAAAAAUAAAUGUAAAUUUCUG